CGGCGUGCUUAACACAUGCAAGUCGAACGGAAAGGCUCUGCUUUUGUGGGGUGCUCGAGUGGCGAACGGGUGAGUAACACGUGAGUAACCUGCCCUUGACUUUGGGAUAACUUCAGGAAACUGGGGCUAAUACCGGAUAGGAGCUCCUGCUGCAUGGUGGGGGUUGGAAAGUUUCGGCGGUUGGGGAUGGACUCGCGGCUUAUCAGCUUGUUGGUGGGGUAGUGGCUUACCAAGGCUUUGACGGGUAGCCGGCCUGAGAGGGUGACCGGCCACAUUGGGACUGAGAUACGGCCCAGACUCCUACGGGAGGCAGCAGUGGGGAAUAUUGCACAAUGGGCGGAAGCCUGAUGCAGCAACGCCGCGUGCGGGAUGACGGCCUUCGGGUUGUAAACCGCUUUCGCCUGUGACGAAGCGUGAGUGACGGUAAUGGGUAAAGAAGCACCGGCUAACUACGUGCCAGCAGCCGCGGUGAUACGUAGGGUGCGAGCGUUGUCCGGAUUUAUUGGGCGUAAAGGGCUCGUAGGUGGUUGAUCGCGUCGGAAGUGUAAUCUUGGGGCUUAACCCUGAGCGUGCUUUCGAUACGGGUUGACUUGAGGAAGGUAGGGGAGAAUGGAAUUCCUGGUGGAGCGGUGGAAUGCGCAGAUAUCAGGAGGAACACCAGUGGCGAAGGCGGUUCUCUGGGCCUUUCCUGACGCUGAGGAGCGAAAGCGUGGGGAGCGAACAGGCUUAGAUACCCUGGUAGUCCACGCUGUAAACGGUGGGUACUAGGUGUGGGGUCCAUUCCACGGGUUCCGUGCCGUAGCUAACGCUUUAAGUACCCCGCCUGGGGAGUACGGCCGCAAGGCUAAAACUCAAAGGAAUUGACGGGGCCCCGCACAAGCGGCGGAGCAUGCGGAUUAAUUCGAUGCAACGCGUAGAACCUUACCUGGGUUUGACAUGGAUCGGGAGUGCUCAGAGAUGGGUGUGCCUCUUUUGGGGUCGGUUCACAGGUGGUGCAUGGCUGUCGUCAGCUCGUGUCGUGAGAUGUUGGGUUAAGUCCCGCAACGAGCGCAACCCUUGUUCACUGUUGCCAGCACGUUAUGGUGGGGACUCAGUGGAGACCGCCGGGGUCAACUCGGAGGAAGGUGGGGAUGACGUCAAGUCAUCAUGCCCCUUAUGUCCAGGGCUUCACGCAUGCUACAAUGGCUGGUACAGAGAGUGGCGAGCCUGUGAGGGUGAGCGAAUCUCGGAAAGCCGGUCUCAGUUCGGAUUGGGGUCUGCAACUCGACCUCAUGAAGUCGGAGUCACUAGUAAUCGCAGAUCAGCAACGCUGCGGUGAAUACGUUCCCGGGGCUUGUACACACCGCCCGUCAAGUCAUGAAAGUUGGUAACACCCGAAGCCGGUGGCCUAACCGUUGUGGGGGAGCCGUCGAAGGUGGGACUGGUGAUUAGG
rnacentral:rRNA from 1 species